rnacentral:tRNA from 1 species
GGCAGCAUGCCAGAGUGGUUAAUGGGUGGGAUUUGAAUACAUUUAUACCUAUCCCAUGGAUUUGUCCGCGCAGGUUCGAACCCUGCUGCUGUCG